rnacentral:rRNA from 1 species
UACGGGGGGGGCAAGCGUUGUUCGGAAUUACUGGGCGUAAAGGGCGCGUAGGCGGUUUGCUAAGUUGGAUGUGAAAACUCUGGGCUUAACCCAGAGCCUGCAUCCAAAACUGGCAAACUUGAGUACUGGAGGGGAAAGCGGAAUUCCUGGUGUAGCGGUGAAAUGCGUAGAUAUCAGGAGGAACACCGGUGGCGAAGGCGGCUUUCUGGGCAGUAACUGACGCUGAGGCGCGAAAGCUAGGGGAGCAAACAGG